UACGGAGGGUGCGAGCGUUGUCCGGAAUCACUGGGCGUAAAGGGCGCGUAGGCGGCCUGAUAAGUAGGGGGUGAAAUCCUGCGGCUUUAACCGCAGGGCUGCCUUUCUAAACUGUCAGGCUGGAGCACAGUAGAGGCAGGUGGAAUUCCCGGUGUAGCGGUGGAAUGCGUAGAGAUCGGGAAGAACAUCAGUGGCGAAGGCGGUUCUCU
rnacentral:rRNA from 1 species